GACGCGGUGGCUUAAUGGCCGGUUUGCGCGUUGGACUCCGGAUCGAGCGGUCCUGGUUCGAGCCCUGGUCUGGGUCA